UUUUCUCGUUUUCCCUUCCAUCGUGUCGUCCUCGAACGGCCGGUCCAGGGCGCUUCUUUCCAUCUUCAACCUUCGUCUUCUCAGACAAGCGUUAGCAGAGGACAACUCCAAAGUUUCCUUCAUGGUUUCCAUGGCUUCCAAGAAGAAGGCGUCCGAAGGUAUCGCUCUAUUGUCCAUGUACAAUGACGAAGAUGAGGACAUGGAGGAUCUCGACGAAGAAGAAGAAGGAGAGGAUGUAGAAAACAAAGAAGACGCGGUUGUUUCUGCAUCUGCCCCUGAAGCCGCUGCUACUCCUCAGUAUGAAGCUUCCCUUCCCAACGAUAAUUCGACCCCAAAGCGAUAGGGCUGCAGCAUGGACGCCGCAGCAGCCCCAAACGUCACUUCCACCCUCACCGUUGCAGCAGGUUCUACCUCCACAGCAUGCCAAUCUUUCGGAUGGUCAGGGAAUGAAAAAAGGGUCUUUGGCAAUCGUCGAUUACAUGCAAGACGAAACCACUAUGUCUCCCGAAGCUGAGGAAAAAAUAAACCGAUUCCUUGCAUAUAAGAGAGCUGGGAAAAGCUUCAAUGCAGAAGUUCGCAAUAGGAAGGAUUAUCGUAAUCCUGACUUCUUGCUGCAUGCAGUGAGGUAUCAAGAUAUAGAUCAGAUAGGAUCUUGCUUCAGUAAAGAUGUGUUUGACCCUCAUGGAUAUGACAAAAGCGACUACUAUGAUGAAAUAGAAGCUGAUAUGAAAUGUGGAAUGGAGAGGAAGGAGCAAGAAAGGAAGAAGAGUCAAAAAGUCGAAUUUGUUGCUGGAGGUACACAACCUGGAACAGUUGCUGCAGCACCAAAAGUUAAUAUGAUUCCAGGUGUUUCAACUAUUGCCUCUAGUGGAUUGCAUUCACUUCCACCUGCUUCAGAUGCCAUGACAAAGGACAGCAGGCCUAAUAAAAAAUCAAAAUGGGACAAGGUCUUAUAUGAAAAAGUUGAUGGUGAUAGAAGACCAGAUCCUGUAUCUACAGCUGGGACUCAUGCAGCACUGUUAUCUGCUGCUAAUGUGGGUGCUGGAUAUACUGCUUUUGCGUACUGUUGAUGAUCUUCUAUCUACAUGACCGGGGGCGGAGCCAAAUAUAUUGGUACUGCUUAAAACCAUGAUUACUUAGUGGAGGCUGGGUUAAAAACAUGAUCAAGUUUCUGCCAUUUGAUCACCUGUCUAAAGGAAAAUUGAGGGGGAGAAAUAAAGCACAUGAACAUCACUAAGCAAUGUUCUUAGGCAACAAAAGCGAAGAGAGGCGGAGGAGAAAAGAUCCAGUGAACGGAAAUUGGAAAAGAGGUCAUGAAUAGCUCUGUAACUAUAGGAAGUUCAGAAGUUUGUGUGCCCUCUUGGUCAUUGAGAGGUACAUUCACACAUCACUAACUUUUAUUUGUACAAGUAAUCGGAAAAUUGGCCAUGUGAGUGAACACCAUCGGAAGCAAUAUAUGAAGUUUGGUGUUUCAAUGUUAAAGAAAAUUGGCCACGUGAUGGAUCCAGAGAAACUUUUUUUCCUUGUACUGAUACUGGAUGAAGCAUUGUAUGCAGCACAAGAAAAUUCAUUUCCUCUUCACUUUGACGGUGAGGAUUGACCACCUGAUUUAAAUAUCAGAGACCUUAAAUGAUUAAAAUGCAAUUCCGUUUUCUUGCGCUUUUUCA